rnacentral:tRNA from 1 species
AGCGGAGUAGAGCAGUUUGGAAGCUCGUCGGGCUCAUAACCCGAAGGUCGUUGGUUCGAUUCCAACCUCCGCAA